rnacentral:rRNA from 1 species
UACGUAGGUGGCAAGCGUUGUCCGGAUUUACUGGGCGUAAAGAGCGCGCAGGCGGUCGUUCAAGUCGCGUGUGAAAGCCCCCGGCUCAACUGGGGAGGGUCACGCGAUACUGAUCGACUCGAAGGCAGGAGAGGGUAGUGGAAUUCCCGGUGUAGUGGUGAAAUGCGUAGAUAUCGGGAGGAACACCGAUGGCGAAGGCAGCUCUCUGGGACGGUACUGACGCUGAGACGCGAAAGCGUGGGGAGCGAACAGG